UCGUGUGAUGAUCUAUCGCCGCAGCAUCUUCAGAAAUGACAUGAAGAAAAAAAAACAGAUUCCAGAACAAGUGUCUAAUGAUGAGACACAGAUUGAUAAAAGUCUCAUGGCCUGAGAGGAUCUCAACAGCUUAGGCAAAAAAAAAGCUCUUCUAAAAAUAUGAAGUAGGAAAAUGAGAUUGUGUUUUGAGCUGAAAUAUUGUAAUACUUUGCAUGUCUCUCAUUAAUGCUUAAGAGCUCAGGAAAUAUUAUGAAAUGGAAAUAUUAACAGCUGUUACAAGAAACAUGUAAUAUUAACUGUGUGAUGCUCACAUUCAUAUUGUCUUUCUUCAUUCAUGUUCAUUUGUAAUUUUAGAAUUAAAAUGUCCUGUAAUUGAAUUUUCCUUCAAGGACAUUUCAACUUUAUUGUAAACAUGCAUAUUACAAGCUGCAUUUAAACUUUGGCUUAAUAUCUAAUAUUUUCAACUUAUAAACCUGCAGUAUAUUUAAUAUUUCAGCACAUUCUUUUAUUUUACUUCUGGUUUAUGUUUGUUACUUAAGUUCUUGUACAAAAUGUUUAAAACAGAAAGUGAAUGUUGAUGUAGCUUACUGUUUCAUGAAUCUAAUUUUCUAAGUUAUUUGUAUUUAAAUCAUAAAUAACUUUCUUGUAGAAUUCGGCCUUCCCACUAAAUUUAUACAACAAAUACUUUGUGAUGUAUGAGAACACCUAAAUAGACCAUUUAUCAGAAACAAAGAGUCAGUUCAGCUCACUGAUGAAGAUCAAUGUUUGUAGCAUCAAGAUGAGGACAAAAAGUGACUGUUCAGUACUUCUGAAGUUGACAUGAGUUACCAGUCUUUGACCAAAAAGAAAAGAGCAAAGCAAAGGGACUUUUGAUGAUUCUCUAUGUAAACCUAAGUUCUUUUGUAUAUUUUUGUUUUAUAUAUACAUAUAUGCAUUACCUUUGCACUGGUGAUUGAUAUUUGAGGUAUUACUAUUUUGGUGAAAUCCUUAUGGAAAAAAUAAUUAUUCCAGAACCACGGCUAAUUUUUGCAUUGAAACUGUCUCUAUUGCACUUAUAUUUACUUAUAAUAAACUUUUAAAUAUUAA